AGCGAACGCUGGCGGCAGGCCUAACACAUGCAAGUCGAGCGGCCGUAGCAAUACGGCAGCGGCAGACGGGAGAGUAACACGUGGGAACGCGCCCUUCGGUUCGGAAUAACUCAGGGAAACUUGGGCUAAUACCGGAUACGCCCUUACGGGGAAAGACUUAUUGCCGAAGGAACGGCCCGCGUCCGAUUAGCUUGUUGGUGAGGUAACGGCUCACCAAGGCGACGAUCGGUAGCUGGUCUGAGAGGAUGACCAGCCUCACUGGGACUGAGACACGGCCCAGACUCCUACGGGAGGCAGCAGUGGGGAAUAUUGACAAUGGGCGCAAGCCUGAUCCAGCCAUGCCGCGUGGGUGAUGAAGGCCCUAGGGUUGUAAAGCCCUUUCGGCGGGGAAGAUAAUGACGGUACCCGCAGAAGAAGCCCCGGCUAACUUCGUGCCAGCCGCCGCUGUAA
rnacentral:rRNA from 1 species